rnacentral:rRNA from 1 species
CUACGGGUGGCUGCAGUGGGGAAUAUUGCACAAUGGAGGAAACUCUGAUGCAGCAACGCCGCGUGGAGGAUGACACUUUUCGGAGCGUAAACUCCUUUUAUAUAGGAAGAAGAUGACGGUACUAUAUGAAUAAGCGCCGGCUAACUCCGUGCCAGCAGCCGCGGUAAUACGGAGGGCGCAAGCGUUACUCGGAAUCACUGGGCGUAAAGAGCGUGUAGGCGGAUUAAAAAGUCAGAAGUGAAAUCCUAUAGCUUAACUAUAGAACUGCUUCUGAAACUCUUAAUCUAGAAUAUGGGAGGGUAGAUGGAAUGUCUGGUGUAGGUGUAAAAUCCGUAGAGAUCAGAAGGAAUACCGAUUGCGAAGGCGAUCUACUAGAACAUUAUUGACGCUGAGACGCGAAAGCGUGGGGAGCAAACAGGAUUAGAUACCCCUGUAGUC